GCGGUCUGUCAAGUCGGAUGUGAAAUCCCCGGGCUCAACCUGGGAACUGCAUUCGAAACUGGCAGGCUAGAGUCUUGUAGAGGGGGGUAGAAUUCCAGGUGUAGCGGUGAAAUGCGUAGAGAUCUGGAGGAAUACCGGUGGCGAAGGCGGCCCCCUGGACAAAGACUGACGCUCAGGUGCGAAAGCGUGGGGAGCAAACAGGAUUAGAUACCCUGGUAGUCCACGCCGUAAACGAUGUCGAUUUGGAGGUUGUGCCCUUGAGGCGUGGCUUCCGGAGCUAACGCGUUAAAUCGACCGCCUGGGGAGUACGGCCGCAAGGUUAAAACUCAAAUGAAUUGACGGGGGCCCGCACAAGCGGUGGAGCAUGUGGUUUAAUUCGAUGCAACGCGAAGAACCUUACCUGGUCUUGACAUCCACAGAACUUAGCAGAGAUGCUUUGGUGCCUUCGGGAACUGUGAGACAGGUGCUGCAUGGCUGUCGUCAGCUCGUGUUGUGAAAUGUUGGGUUAAGUCCCGCAACGAGCGCAACCCUUAUCCUUUGUUGCCAGCGGUCCGGCCGGGAACUCAAAGGAGACUGCCAGUGAUAAACUGGAGGAAGGUGGGGAUGACGUCAAGUCAUCAUGGCCCUUACGACCAGGGCUACACACGUGCUACAAUGGCAUAUACAAAGAGAAGCGACCUCGCGAGAGCAAGCGGACCUCAUAAAGUAUGUCGUAGUCCGGAUUGGAGUCUGCAACUCGACUCCAUGAAGUCGGAAUCGCUAGUAAUCGUAGAUCAGAAUGCUACGGUGAAUACGUUCCCGGGCCUUGUACACACCGCCCGUCACACCAUGGGAGUGGGUUGCAAAAGAAGUAGGUAGCUUAACCUUCGGGAGGGCGCUUACCACUUUGUGAUUCAUGACUGGGGUGAAGUCGUAACAAGGUAACCGUAGGGGAACCUGCGGUUGGAUCACCUCCUUA
rnacentral:rRNA from 1 species